rnacentral:rRNA from 1 species
GACGAACGCUGGCGGCGUGCUUAACACAUGCAAGUCGAACGGUAAGGCCCUUCGGGGUACACGAGUGGCGAACGGGUGAGUAACGCGUGAGUAACCUGCCCUUCACUCUGGGAUAACAGUUGGAAACGGCUGCUAAUACCGGAUAUUCAGCUCCUGUCGCAUGGUGGGGGUUGGAAAGUUUUGGUGGUGGAGGAUGGGCUCGCGUCCUAUCAGCUUGUUGGUGGGGUGAUGGCCUACCAAGGCGUCGACGGGUAGCCGGCCUGAGAGGGCGACCGGCCACAUUGGGACUGAGAUACGGCCCAAACUCCUACGGGAGGCAGCAGUGGGGAAUAUUGCACAAUGGGCGGAAGCCUGAUGCAGCAACGCCGCGUGCGGGAUGACGGCCUUCGGGUUGUAAACCGCUUUCAGCAGGGACGAAGCGU